rnacentral:rRNA from 1 species
GUUAGCGGCGGACGGGUGAGUAACACGUGGGUAACCUGCCUGUAAGACUGGGAUAACUCCGGGAAACCGGGGCUAAUACCGGAUGGUUGUCUGAACCGCAUGGUUCAGACAUAAAAGGUGGCUUCGGCUACCACUUACAGAUGGACCCGCGGCGCAUUAGCUAGUUGGUGAGGUAACGGCUCACCAAGGCGACGAUGCGUAGCCGACCUGAGAGGGUGAUCGGCCACACUGGGACUGAGACACGGCCCAGACUCCUACGGGAGGCAGCAGUAGGGAAUCUUCCGCAAUGGACGAAAGUCUGACGGAGCAACGCCGCGUGAGUGAUGAAGGUUUUCGGAUCGUAAAGCUCUGUUGUUAGGGAAGAACAAGUGCCGUUCAAAUAGGGCGGCACCUUGACGGUACCUAACCAGAAAGCCACGGCUAACUACGUGCCAGCAGCCGCGGUAAUACGUAGGUGGCAAGCGUUGUCCGGAAUUAUUGGGCGUAAAGGGCUCGCAGGCGGUUUCUUAAGUCUGAUGUGAAAGCCCCCGGCUCAACCGGGGAGGGUCAUUGGAAACUGGGGAACUUGAGUGCAGAAGAGGAGAGUGGAAUUCCACGUGUAGCGGUGAAAUGCGUAGAGAUGUGGAGGAACACCAGUGGCGAAGGCGACUCUCUGGUCUGUAACUGACGCUGAGGAGCGAAAGCGUGGGG